CGGGUAUAGUUUAGUGGUAGAAUCUCAUGCUUCCGACCUGAUGGCGAGGGUUCGAUUCCCUCUACCC
rnacentral:tRNA from 1 species